rnacentral:rRNA from 1 species
GUGCCAGACUCCUACGGGAGGCAGCAGUGGGGAAUAUUGCACAAUGGGGGAAACCCUGAUGCAGCGACGCCGCGUGAGUGAAGAAGUAUUUCGGUAUGUAAAGCUCUAUCAGCAGGAACGAGACAAGACGGUACCUGACUAAGAAGCCCCGGCUAACUACGUGCCAGCAGCCGCGGUAAUACGUAGGGGGCAAGCGUUAUCCGGAUUUACUGGGUGUAAAGGGAGCGUAGACGGCAGCACAAGUCUGAAGUGAAAUGCCGGGGCUUAACCCCGGAACUGCUUUGGAAACUGUGCAGCUAGAGUGCAGGAGAGGUAAGUGGAAUUCCUAGUGUAGCGGUGAAAUGCGUAGAUAUUAGGAGGAACACCAGUGGCGAAGGCGGCCUGCUGGGCUUUAACUGACGCUGAGGCUCGAAAGCGUGGGGAGCAAACAGGAUUAGAUACCCCUGUACC